rnacentral:rRNA from 1 species
CACGUUGGAACCUGCCCCAAAGUGAGGAAUAAGCCACCGAAAGGUGGUCUUAAUACUUCAUAAUAUCCAUCUCGUAUGGAUUAAAGCUUUAUGCGCUUUAGGAGGGGCCUGCGUAACAUUAGCUUGUUGGUGAGGUAAAAGCUCACCAAGGCUUCGAUGUUUAACUGGUUUGAGAGGAUGACCAGUCACACUGGGACUGAGAUACGGCCCAGACUCCUACGGGAGGCAGCAGUAAGGAAUCUUCCACAAUGGGGGCAACCCUGAUGGAGCAAUACCGCGUGCAGGAUGAAGCGUUUCGGCGUGUAAACUGCUUUUAUCACCGAAGAUUAUGACUGUAGGUGAAGAAUAAGGACCGGCUAACUACGUG